CUUCCCGCCCACGCCGCAACCGGAAGUGCGGUCGCGGCGGGGCGGGGCGGAGGUCAGUGGGGCUAGUGCUUAGCGCCGCUGAGACUGCUCGUGAGGUGGAACAGGGUCGGACAGGCUUCGUUGAGAAGAAACCUUCGAACUGAGGGAUGAGUGGGAGUUUAAGUCUCAGAGUGACGGAGGAUGGGGGUUGCCUAAGUCUUGGAACCUUGAAUGUUACCACUGUGCCUUGUGAACAGAAAUAACUCGAUUAACGGAAUGGGAGACUUUAAAGACGUUCCAAACUGUAUCCAGGAAGCUGAAGAUCCCGUGUUCGAUAAGACUCUGUUGAUGCAUAAGAAAAGUCUCAUGCUCGCGGCCACGGGUAUAAAUUUAAAAAUAAAUAAAAAGAAUUGCCCUCUG